CCGCCUCUGAAAUAAAGACCUUGUCAACAUUCCGCAACCGACUCUGAGAUGCUUCCAGAUUAAGCGACACUGAUUCAAAAUAAAUCCCGGCCGUUAAUUUAUGCAAUAACAAUUUAAUCUCAGCCUUCCAAUCUCAUUCUACUUCUGUAUAAAUACUGCUCUACCUCCGUUCCUAGGAUUCUUGCCUUGGGUCUUAGGGUUUGAGAUGGUGAUGGAUGUGUUGAUUAAUUCUGGUGUUUUCUUCUAUUUUAUGCCAGACGUCUGUGAGAUCGUUUAUCUUUGAUUGUUUAUAUUGAUGAUAUGAUUCCUGUAUGUCUCGGUUCGCAUGUGCAGGGAAGAUUUUGAUGCGAAGAGAAUUGUUGAUCUGGAUAUUUCUUCUUUUCUCCAUACGUGGUUUUUGUUUGCAAGUUAUUUUUGCUGAAGAUCGAAAUGCCUAGUUUUAUUAGGAUCACUUUCUGGGUUGGUUUGGAUUUGGUGGAUAGUUCACCAUGUUGGUAAGAUUUCUUUCUGGUUGUUUUGUGGUGUUAGGUAUUGGAAUAAGCAUAAUUGUGGAUUGAGGUCGAAGGUAUUUUCUUGUUUUGCAUUGGCUUUCUGUUCACGAGGAAUUUGCAUCUUGAAUUGAAUUGCCACGCAGCUUAACACAGUUCUGAUGAUUGGUUAAUUGAUUGAUUUCAGCUCUAGUAGGAAACAGAGUUCUGUUCCUGAUUUUUUACGGUGUAAUGCGGCAUUGGUGGUAGCUUGACAAUCGAUUUAAUAUGAUAUUUACUUUUGAAUUAUUGCAAUUUCUUCUUCUAUACACGUUUCCACAAAGACAUUCAAGGUCAGUGAUUUUAAAUUGGUUUCUUUCUCUUUUCGGUCAAGUGUUAUUUCGUCGUCCUUCAUUCAACGAGUUACUCGGUGGUUCUUUGAUCAUUGUUAAAUCUUCGAAACUCUGAUUAAUUAACUUAUAUGAUGGCUGACAAAAACGGUUCUGUUGGUGGUUUCUUUCUGCGGCCUUUUUCAAGGUAUGGAUCAAUCCACUUAUUACCAGGAUUGGUGGUUUGUGGUUUGAUUUUCAGGAUCAUGGAGCAUUUUAUUUAAUCCUUAUAAACCUGUCAGCAGGCUGGUGAGGGAGAUCUUCUUUCUUGCGUUUGUUAAUUUAAUUUAUAUUUCCGGAUCAUUGGGCAUAUAGAUUAUUUUCUGAUUUGGUAUGUUUGUAUGUGGUUUCAGCUAAUUGUUCGAUGAGGAUGUUGACUAGGAAUGAAAAAUUAUUGAAAAAUUCUCGUGCUUUGUAUAUCCAGGAAAUUAUUGGUAUGUUAGGGAGUCAUCUUGUCCCUAACCAGACAUAUGGAACAUUAUUGAAAAAUUCUUGUGCUUUGCAUGGAUCAAUGGUGAUCCAGGAAAUGUUUGAUAAGCUAAACGAGUUGGCCAUGAUUUCUUGUUGCCUAAUUUAGUAGGAACUUGCCUUUGUUGGCUGUGGCAUCAGUGGCGUUUUGCUAUCCAGCACUUCCAGUGCAUUGUUCUGCCAGCUUGUGUCAUGGGACAUAUUGAAAGAGAAUAUUUGACAUCCAUUUGGCGUUGGGUCUUUGAUGACAGGCAUGAGCUUGCAUCUUCUGUGACUCAUGAUUUGCGAAUACGUGCAAAGGCUUGAUAAGGAAGUCUUUUGUGCCUUGUCCGUUGGUUGAAAGUUUUUUCUUCUAAAAUAUCAAAUAUUUUCUCCUUAAGAAAAGGUUUUGGGGGUUAUUGUUCUGAGGUUUGUGGUGUGAUUUCCAGGAUUGGGGAGCAUUUUUGGGGUUGAUUCCUUUGUGCAUGGUUAGAGCUGUUGGCCUGGUAGUUGGGGGAGAUACUUUCACCCCUUUGAACUAGUUUCCUAGCCUGGUUUUUUAUGUAUUUGCAGCUUUUUAUUUGAGGAGGAUGUCAAGCAAGAAUGAAUGGUCAGGGGUUUGUCUCGCUUUUUCCAAUAUUGGUUCUUUCAUUAUAUCAAGUAGUGUAAGUGUUGUUAUAACUUUGAGAUCCUUCCUUGACAGGUUUCCUUGAUUCCAGUGUUAAAUUGUGGAGCAUAAUGGAAUUAAUUGAUGAUAUUGAUGUUGGAAGUAUUCUCUUCUUCUCUUGUCUUUUCUUAACUUUUGAUUUUCAGGAUCAUGGACCAUUUUAUGUGAUCCUUAUAAACCUGUUGGCAGGCUAGUAAGGGAGAUUUUCUUUUAACCCCUUUGUUUCUUGCAUUUGUUGAUUUAAUCUAUAUGUUCUGAAUUUUGGCAUAUAGAAUUAGUUCCUGAGUUAGUAUGUCAAGGGAGUUUUGUUGUCUCUCUUCAUUCUCUCUACUUCAUAUAAGUAGAAUCAUGGAACUAAUACUGUGAUAAUUUUUAGAUUUGUGGUGCCUCCUGAUCAGUUUCAUUGGUAAAAGUGUUAAGAUUUAUCAAAUUUUUAUUUGAUGUUUGUUUUUCCAGGAUCUGCACGACAUGGAUUAAUAAUGAUGCAAUAAGUGUUUGAUACGAUAAAUAUGUUGGCUGUUUGUGGGAGCCUGCCUUCUGUAUUGUCUCUGGAGUCCCAUUACUAAUGACUGCUCUUAGCAUUAGCUUGCAUAUUGUGUGCUAAGUGGCUUAAGAUGUGUUUGAUACAAUGAUAUUCUGCCUAUUAUAUGGUGUUACUCGAAAAUGCAUUUUUUAGUCUCUAGUUUCCUCUUUAGAUGAGCUGCCCUAUAUGGAGGGAGUUGAUGUGUUUGAUACAACGGUAGCGUGAGCCCAUUUUAUGGUGUUACUCGAAGAAACACUUUUUUGCUUCUCCAGUUUCCCUUAAGCUAAGCUAUAUGAAAGGAGAAGUUGAUGUCAUCGAGGGAGUAUUCAUUGUCCUCUGCUUGUGUUAUGUUGGGGGCUUCUUAGUUUACAUCUCCAUACACAUUAGGAGCGUAGUGAGUGAAAAUUGUGAUAUUGAUGGGGAGGUAUUUUUUCUUUUGCCUGGAUCCUCUAAAAAUGAGAUAUGCUUGAGCUGCAUUCCCUUGAUUUUCUGCAUCCUUAUCUUCUAUUAGGCUAUGAACUUGCUUCUGCUUGGGGGGAAUGCGAUAGUCUUGAUUAUGUUCCUUGGUGAUAGUUUAUAAAUCUUCAUAUGAGCAGGUGGUGUCCUUGUGUAAGAACAGUAACAAAUGAGAUGCAGAUUCUUUUUACAGGAUCUGCUCGAGUGGAUUGACGUAUGGACCACUACUGAUAGGAUGUUGCCUUUUGUUUCUUCUCUGGGGUCUUAUGGCUGCAUGGGGAGUGUAAUUAUGACUAUUCUCUUUGGUUAGUUCAGCUUCAGUGUGAGUGCCUCCUGCGAGUCUUUCUGGCAGUGUGUGGAUGAUCAUGAACCGGAAGUUAUUGCCCUUGUUUUUGGUUUGAGUUGUACUUUCUCAGAAUCAACCACCACCAAACAUUUGUGAACCAAUAAAACAAAUAAAAAAGAACUAGUAGUAAUUUUUCCCUGUAGUGGAUGAACUGGAUUUGUGGAGUGGGAGAUAUUGGAAGGUUUCUUUUAAUUUAUUUGUUGUUGGCUUCUUGAUGAUGGCACAGACAUGAGCUUGUGCCUUCUUUAUAAGUGCCCUCAUUACUAGAGAACAUGCACACAGGCUUGAUCUGGAAGUCCUUUUCCCUUGUUUUUUGGAUGGAAGUGUUUCUACUUGAGUACCAUAUAUGUUGUUCUUAAGAACGGGAAUUGGCCGCAUCAACCUUGGUUAUCUAUAGCUUUUUUCCCCCUUGUUGGAUCCCCAAUGCACAUUGUGAAACCUGUUGACAGACUAGUGGGGAGAUUUCUGUAACCCUUUCUGUUUGGCUGGAAGUUAGAUUUAUAAUAUUAACUAUUCACAUAGAAUUAUUUCUGAGUUUGUAUAUUUGUGUGUUUUCAGCCCCUUAUUCGAGGAAUAUGUAUUGUGGGAAUGAUCAAGGGAGUUCUCUUGCCCCUUCUAGCGUGUGUUUCAAGCUUGUUAUUUGAUUUAGAUGUGGUGUGGGAAUGAUCAGGGAGUUCUCUUGCCUCUUCUAGCAUUGGCUCUCCCCUUCAUACAAGGAGAAUUUUUGAGUGAAUAUUCUUAUAGUUUUGCUACUUCCCUUAUCAGGUUUCCUUGAUUCCAGUGUUUUCUCGUGGAGCAUAUUGAGAUCAAUUGAAGAUGCUAAUCGAGUACUCUCUUUUCCUUCUUGACCUUCUUAAAAAAAACCUUUUUUUUCCUUUUUUAGGUGUUUGAUCGUCUUUUCUUUUCUUGAUUCUUGUAUCUAAUCUUUUAAUAUAAAAUAAAUUACUAUUUAAUCCCUUCAUAUCAGGCAUUUUAGAUAUUUUCCUAGUUAGUUCUUAUAUUUUGUAAUACGUAACGGCUUUUUAAAAAGUUUACUAUAACUUCUAAAACUAGUAGGCGGAUUAAUUAGACUUUUUAAAAUGGCAGGAUUGUUUUAAUGCAUUUUUCAAAAUUGAGAGGCUAACUAGUGAGUUUUAAUUUUCGCUUUAAUUUAAUGCAUGCUCCCUAUUGUUUUUGCUAUGACUUUGCACACAUAGCUUCUUAUAAGAUAUCCUUCUUUUCAGGACAAAAAAAACUAAGCAUGUGUAUAUGAAAUUUUCUCAUUGAUCUUUCCAUAGUUGUCUAAUCGAGAUUCGAAAAUCGAAUAUAGUUGUAAGAUCUGCUGAAAAUUCAAAAAAUCAAUUAAAAAUAAUACAUUAUCAUGAUGACAUAUAGAAUAAUAUUUAUUUGUUAUGUUAUAUAAUUUCAAUUUUAGAAAUAUUUGUUUAUGUUAUAUAAUUUCAAAUUUAGAAAUAUUUGUUAUAAUAAUGUGUUGUAUAUACACAUAUAUUUAUAUAUAUAUAGAUAUAUGUAUGUAUACACACACACACACACACACACACACGCACACACACUUUAUAGCAAAAAUGAAUACUUAUGAUAGUUUAUUUCUACAAACCUGCCAGCAGGGGAGUUGGGGAGAUGUUUCCAUAGUUAUGAAAUUUUCUCAUUGAUCCUUUCCAUAGUUGUCUAAUCGAGAUUCGAAAAUCGGAUAUAGUUGUAAGAUUUGCUGAAAAUUCCAAAGAUCAAUUAAAAAUAAUACAUUAUCAUGAUGACAUAUUUUGAUAAUAUAGGAUUGUCAUUCGUCUAGUUAGAAAUAUUCUUUAUAAUAGAAUGAUAUUUAUUUGUUAUGUUAUAUAAUUUCAAUUUUAGAAAUAUUUGUUUAUGUUAUAUAAUUUCAAAUUUAGAAAUAUUUGAUAUAAUAAUGUGUUGUAUAUACACAUAUAUUUAUAUAUAUAGAUAUAUGUAUGUAUGUAUGUACACACACACACACACACACACACACACACACACUUUAUAGCAAAAAUGAAUACUUAUGAUAGUUUAUUUCUACAAACCUGCCAGCAGGGGAGUCGGGGAGAUGUUUUACCCUUUAUUUUGUGCUUGUCAUUUAAUUUAUAUAUUCCUUGUUAUUAAUAUUAGGUCAUAUCGAACUAGUUUUUGAGUUUGUAUAUUUGCAUGCAUUUUCAGCUUAUUGUACGAGGAAGAUGUCAAUGGGGAAUGAUUGCCUAUUCUAAUAUCGAUCCUCUUCACUAUAGAAUCCUCUAGCAGAUGAUUUAUAGUUUUUUUGAUUUUUGCUGCCUCCUGAUCAGGUUUCUUUGAUUCAAGUGUUCCUGAAAUCCAGACAUAAGGAACUUCUUUAGAUUAUGAUAAGGGAUUGGAAGCUCUCUUCCCCCCUUGCUCUCUUCCAGAAAGAAGUGUUUCAUAAGAUAUUUUGAGUUGGCCAUGUUUUCUUGCUGUCUUUGCCCAAGUCUUUGGCUUAAGAUGUGCUGAUACAAUGAUAUUCUGUCCCACCGUAUUUCAUUGACAAAGAUGCACGUUCUUAUGUGUCUAUGGUUGAGCCAAUGAUACUGUCCAUCUUAUUACAUUAUAUGGUCUCAAAUAUGUACUUGUGUUUCCAGGUUCCCUUGAGAUGAACUGUAUAGAAGGAGAAGAUAUUUAUGAAGGCGUGUAUUUCUAGACCUCUGCUCAUGUUAUGCUUGGGGAUAAUGGGUGUGGUUCUCCUCUUGUUUGUUUUAAUGGUUCAGAUAUGUGUAGUGGUGGUUGAUUCUAAGAGCUUUCAAUUCCGUCAAUGUAGUGGACUAAUGGGUUUGUGAAGGGACUUGUUGAAAGAAAGAAUUUUUCGUGUCCAUUUGUUGUUGGCUCUUUGAUUAUACGCAUGAGCUUGCAUCUUCUAUGACUCAUUUGCAAAUACGUGCACAGGCUUGAUCAGGAAGUGUUCUGCACGUUGGCUGUUGGUUGAUUUGAAUUUUUUGCGUCCAUUUGGUGUUGGCUCUUUGAUUAUAGGCAUGAGCUUGCAUCUUCUAUGACUCAUUUGCAAAUACGUGCACAGGCUUGAUCAGGAAGUGUUCUGCAAGUUGUCCGUUGGUUGAUUUUUUUUUUCUAAAAUUAGUAGUUCUUUUUUCACUUAUGAAAAGGUUUUGGGGGCUACUGUUCUGAGGUUUGUGGUGUGAUUUUCAGGAUCGGAGACCAUUUUUUGAGUUGAAUCGUUUGGGCAUGGUUAGAGAUGUUGGUUGGGUAGUCAGGGAGAUUUUUUCAUCCCUUGAACUAGUUUCUUAGUCUAUUUUUGUAUGUGUUCCCAGCUUUUCAUUUGAGGAGGAUGUCAAGCAAGUAUGUGAAUGAUCAGGGGGGUUGUCUUGCCUCUUCCAAUGUUGGUUCGUACUUUGUAUCAGGUAGCGUUUAGUGUCGUUAUAACUUUGUGAUCUUUCCUUGACAGGCUUCCUUGAUUCCAGUGUUGUUAUUGUUACAUUAAUGUAUUGCACUUGUUAUGAUGACUUAGAUAUGAGGGGUACGGAUUUGAACAAGGCUGAUCCAUCUUGUUUAUGAUCUAGCACGUAUUUCAAUUGUGUGCUUUUGCACGACCUGCGUGGCUAUAUUAAUAAAUUCAUGGGCUUCACUGGUAUUAAUAUUGAUGUGGUUACAAUAAUUUGUUGGUGAUGAAUUUCUGGUUAUGUUGGUGAGUUGGUAUGGUAUAAUUCAUUGAUUUGUGGCAUCAACCAGUUUAAGGAGCUUGUGAUUUGUAUGUGGUUCUCUUGCUCCAAAGAUGAGAAUUUUAAGCAUUAAUUCCUGGUCUUCUUGAUUGCCAGCUUUAGUGUGAGAUCGAGUUUCAUCAAGGAGUUGUUUUGACAGCCUGUGGAUUGGCAUGAACAGGAAGUUAGGUCUUAAUCAAAAGAUGCUGAUGUAUCCAGGCUCUCCUCAUAAUUCGUUCUCGUUAUUGUUUGUCUUGUUACUUUGUGAUGGAGUGUCUUAGAUGUGUGUCAGCCAACGCAACUGUUAACAUGGGUUUGCAAGUCUCAGCCUUUCCUUUCCCCACUUUGAUGUAGUUCCCAGAUGUUUUGAAGUAACAAAAUUUUCCUGUAUACUUCCUGGUGCUUUGCUGUCUACUGGUAUAUGGUUGUAAAAUAACUGCAAGUCUUGUUCUCUUCUUUGGUCUUCUUCCAGGUUUACUUGCUACAAUUGGAUACUCGAGGCAUGAAGGGAAUCCUGAUUUAAUUUUUUAUUUUGUGCUCCUAUUCUCUAUCUGUAUCAUAUAGUGAUCUUAAGUCUGCAUGAUUCAAUUGCUCUCUGAGCUCUGCUGUUGCUUUCCCUCUCUCCUCAUAUGUUGGCAGUGAUGAUGAUCAGCAAAUGAGGUUUCUGUUAUGAUCUUUGUUCCUUUCCUUGAGGUUGAGUGAGAUAGGUUGACACGGAUAAUUAGCUGGUUUCAAGAUGUUGGGAAGGAGACGGAAGAUGUCCUUUGACAUGUUGGUUAUUGCUGCAUCUGUAUUUUCUGGUUGUGGUAUUGGUAUUUUCUUUGUGCCACAGGAGGCUGGUCUUCUUGUGAAUUGUUUUCCAAGCGUUAAUUACUUUCUUUGUUGUUCUUUCUUCUUUAGUGGUCUUCAUUUCUGCCGUUUUAAAGCAUGUAACUCCGCCUGUGUUAGCGAAUACAUGGCCGGUCUCAAGCCCGGAUAAAGGAGGAGAGGUUGCAAGUGCUAAUUACUUGGUAAGGUGAUAGCAAUUGCUUAGUGCUUGAUACUUGAUUAUGACGGUGAUUGUUGAGUGUCUGAAUGAUAGAAAUGAGGUUGUUCAUCACCAGAACUCAAUGCUGUUGUUGAUUGUGGUAUCAGACCUUUUGGAGUAAACACGGAAGAGUAAUGGAGCAUUUAAGAUCUCUUAUGAAGAGAAAAUUUACAUGCAAGAAAUUCCAUAUUUAUAGUGUACUAUUUGAAUACUUUUGUGAGGAUCGUCCCUUUUCUCGUGCUAAACUCUCUCUUUGGGUAGACUGAAAAUCCCAAUUUAGGAGGUUUUCUUUUGGAGUUCUAGAAGUCGUUUGUAUUACCGAUUUUGCAACAUGGAGCUCGCAGCAAUGCGUAUCAGGAGACUAUUUCUCUCGAUGAAGUACAAAAUCAGAGUUUUUUUUUUUUUAA